rnacentral:lncRNA from 1 species
UCAAGGCUGAGACCAAAGGCGAUGAUGUGGAUGAAAGAGAGAUGGUGUUGGGAUCCACUCAGCAUCAGAGAAAAAAAAUCUACAAAACAAGUUCUGCCAGCGGUGGCUCCGACAAGGAUCCUCCGACAUUCAAGUCAGUGAGAUGGUUCGAGAGAAAAGAGUGACAGUAUCUGGAUCGCAAAAAUAGUAUGUGCAUGCCCCCCUUACUUGGAGAGGUCCCAACUUACCUCUAUUUAUAGAGGAAACAAAAUGAAUGGUG